UUUUUUUUUUUAAAGGGGAGUUUAUAGCACACCAUGCUUUCUGUUUACUUUAAACGGUUGCUGGAUUGUCCUGGCUUGGCUGUCCAAAAGUCUAUUUUUUUCCUUUGGGUAGCCUCGAAGAAGCUUAAUAUGGGAAGAAAAACUGCCUUUUGAAUCAAGAUUAUUUAUAGCUACACCCAAAAAAAGUAAAAGAAAAAUUUAACUUUCUUAACAGCAUUCGACAACUUAUUUUUCGCUGAGGAUUUGUUUUUGUGCCUUGACCUGAACAAUACAUGGUCCCUGUGUUUGUCUUUUAAGUUUCUGAAGCAUGGUUUAUUUAUGAAGGAGAUGGAGUUUUGCAAGCCUUCUUUAAGUGGAUUACAGUUAACCAGAGUUCUGCCGAUAUUAACAUUCAGCCUAGCCUGUUAAAAUGCUUGCUCAUUUGGAAAUUUUAACCUGGAAAUCUCAGAUGCAAAAUUAGACUAAAAAGGGAAAUGGACUGACAGUGGAAUGUUUUGAGUGUUUGAGCCACUGUUAAGUGUGUGUGUUUGUUUGUUUUCUGUGUUUUGGAGUAUGUGAAAGGGAACCUGGGGGGAUAAGGGAAGGGGGGAGGAAGGAGAUUUCUGUUCUUUGUUCUCAAUGCACUUUAUUUUUUUAAGAAUCAUUUUAAAAACAACCAGGUAAAAGGAUAGUUGCAUUUAAGACUGAUGCACUGAUGACCUUAAACACCUCCUAUAUCACAACCUAUAUUGUUUGAGCGUGUCUUUAUGCUGACGACACUUCAUAGUGCUGUCCAGAAGUAUACUUUUUUGAAAGAUGCUUUACCUUAUUUCUUAUUUUCUGUGUCAAGAGCUGCAAUAUUUGUUUUAAUUGUCUACAAAAUGGGGAAGCCACUCAGCAGACCAGACUGUUUACGUCAGAAUCCCCCAUGUGUAGGGAAAGGUGAAGAAGAGGAGGACCUAAAUAUCGAAGACUGUUAUGUCCCACAGCGGUCAAUCUAUGAUACUGUUAGGCUGAAUGAACAGAUAGACUCUGGUUCAAAGGGUAGCCUCUCUUCCAGGCAUUUUACAGAUCGGACUUUACCCUACAGUCACAGAACACUGGAUGUUAGUUCUCUAUGCUCUAACGGUGCCCUUGCUUCUUCCAGUGUAUUUGAGCUGAGAGGUCGUGAAGCUAACAAACUAGAUGAAAAGAUGAUCUUUGAUGCGCUCAAACUAAAUAGUGAUAUCAUUCGAACCACCGGAUUACCCAAAGCCAAGUCCCAUGCAGAAAAGAAAGAACAUAGACGGUCAUGGCGAAUGUUUGUCCCAGCCAAUUUUAUGGAUUAUGCAAACAAAAGUGAAAGCUCUUUUGUUGAACCUACUGAUAUGUCAGAUGCUGUUCCCAAGGCCAGCAAGUGCAGAUGGGGUACUAAUUCUCUAACGUCGGAGGAGGAUGACUCUGGUUUAUGUAGCCCUCCAGCAGAGAGGGAAGAAAAACAGGGCAUUUUAACUGGAGACCAGUCACGAAUUAGAAGCUUAUCUUCAGCUGAAGAUAUUCAUAUGGCAGAGCAAUACAGGCCAUUUUUUUCUGUUUAUUCCAUUAGUGAGCAGAAAAUCCCAUUGCUUUCAUGUAGAAGUGCCCACCCUGAUGAAAAUUUCAAAAUGAUUUUGCAUGAUGUUCCUCCACUAGAUGAAACAAAAGGUGCAAAUGGUCAAAGGGAAAUCCAUGGUGAAAAUUGCUUUCUGCAGAAUGAUUUAGAAGAGAGCACUGUAAAGUGUGAUCCAUUGAUUAUGUCAGGAGAUGGGGAAAGCCAGUGUAUUUCUAACACUGGAGAAGAAUGGAAAACCUAUGGAUCAGGAGAAUCCCAAAUCACGGCACAAAGUGGGAAAUUUCUGGAAAAUUCUGAGGAUUUACAUCUCUCUCUCACAGAUGUGGAGGGAAACGAUGCAGAUUGUGGUAGCACGAGUUUAGUAAAAAAUGUGACCGUGUUGACACCAGAUGAUUCGGAAGAAUCCAACGUUGCAUCUAAAGAGGCAGUGGAGGUGCCCCUUUAUUCCCGGGAGAUGGAGGUGGUCCAAAUAAAGUGUUCCCCGAAAUUCAUAC
rnacentral:lncRNA from 1 species